rnacentral:rRNA from 1 species
AUUGAACGCUGGCGGCAUGCCUUACACAUGCAAGUCGAACGGUAACAGGUCUUCGGACGCUGACGAGUGGCGAACGGGUGAGUAAUACAUCGGAACGUGCCCAGUCGUGGGGGAUAACUACUCGAAAGAGUAGCUAAUACCGCAUACGAUCUGAGGAUGAAAGCGGGGGACCUUCGGGCCUCGCGCGAUUGGAGCGGCCGAUGGCAGAUUAGGUAGUUGGUGGGAUAAAAGCUUACCAAGCCGACGAUCUGUAGCUGGUCUGAGAGGACGACCAGCCACACUGGGACUGAGACACGGCCCAGACUCCUACGGGAGGCAGCAGUGGGGAAUUUUGGACAAUGGGCGAAAGCCUGAUCCAGCAAUGCCGCGUGCAGGAUGAAGGCCUUCGGGUUGUAAACUGCUUUUGUACGGAACGGAAAAGCUUCUCCUAAUACGAGAGGCC